rnacentral:rRNA from 1 species
CCUCCGGCUCGACUCUCCCACCCUUUGUGAACGUACCUCUGUUGCUUUGGCGGCUCCGGCCGCCAAAGGACCUUCAAACUCCAGUCAGUAAACGCAGACGUCUGAUAAACAAGUUAAUAAACUAAAACUUUCAACAACGGAUCUCUUGGUUCUGGCAUCGAUGAAGAACGCAGCGAAAUGCGAUAAGUAAUGUGAAUUGCAGAAUUCAGUGAAUCAUCGAAUCUUUGAACGCACAUUGCGCCCCUUGGUAUUCCGGGGGGCAUGCCUGUUCGAGCGUCAUUACAACCCUCAAGCUCUGCUUGGAAUUGGGCACCGUCCUCACUGCGGACGCGCCUCAAAGACCUCGGCGGUGGCUGUUCAGCCCUCAAGCGUAGUAGAAUACACCUCGCUUUGGAGCGGUUGGCGUCGCCCGCCGGACGAACCUUCUGAACUUUUCUCAAGGUUGACCUCGGAUCAGGUAGGGAUACCCGCUGAACUUAAG